rnacentral:rRNA from 1 species
GACGAACGCUGGCGGCGUGCUUAACACAUGCAAGUCGAACGGAAAGGCCCUGCUUUUGUGGGGUGCUCGAGUGGCGAACGGGUGAGUAACACGUGAGUAACCUGCCCUUGACUUUGGGAUAACUUCAGGAAACUGGGGCUAAUACCGGAUAGGAGCUCCUGCUGCAUGGUGGGGGUUGGAAAGUUUCGGCGGUUGGGGAUGGACUCGCGGCUUAUCAGCUUGUUGGUGGGGUAGUGGCUUACCAAGGCUUUGACGGGUAGCCGGCCUGAGAGGGUGACCGGCCACAUUGGGACUGCGAGACGGACCAGACUCCUACGGGAGGCAGCAGUGGGGAAUAUUGCACAAUGGGCGGAAGCCUGAUGCAGAAACGCCGCGUGCGGGAUGCCGGCCUUCGGGUUGUAAACCGCUUUCGCCUGUGACGAAGCGUGAGUGACGGUAAUGGGUAAAGAAGCACCGGCUAACUACGUG